rnacentral:antisense_RNA from 1 species
GUCACUUCCGGCGGGCGGGCUCCGAAAGGAGAGCGUGGUGUCUGGAGGUGAUCGGAAGGGACUGGCUGGAGUGUGGCGGGCUGACAGGUCUGAGGCCUGAAGGACUUCCGGGAACCGCAAAGCACGGUGUGCCUCCGUUGUCCUGAAGAAAAAGCCGCGCGCGGACGACUGGCCGGCCCACGCUUGCAGCUCCCAGAAGUUGACAGGCAUCCUCCGGUGACCGGAGACAAGUUCUCACUCUGUCGCUCAGGCUGGAGUGAAGUGGCGUGAUCUCAGCUCACUGCAGCCUUGAACUCCCGGGCUCAAGUGAUCCUCCUGCCUCAGCCUCCCGAGUAGCUAGGACUACAGAUCUGCAUUAUAAGAAAAAUGAGGAGAAUUCCUUCAGGAAGAAGAAAAAUGAUACCAGAUGGAUAUGUGGAUCCACAUAAAGGAACGAAGAGCACAGGAAAUAGUAACUAUGCUGUCUUUCUCUGUCACCCAGGCUGGAGUGUGGUGGUGCGAUCUUGGCUUACCUCUAGACUGGUUGGAUCCAGGUUUCCUUCGUCAGUCCAGGCAGGACUGUGCGUUUGGAAAAGG